CUCUGUUCAGACAGGGCUGAGGUCUCUGGGGAAGGCGGAGCUCUGGUCUGGAAGAAGAUGAGACUCUUGUGCCUUCUCCUUUGCCUGGUGAUGGCUCCCCAAGGAGUCCUGUCCCAGGUGCAGCUGCAGGAGUCGGGCCCAGGACUGGUGAAGCCCUCACAGACCCUCUCCCUCACCUGCACUGUCACUGGAGCCUCCAUGACAAGCAGCAGCUAUUACUACUGGAGCUGGAUUGCCAGCCCCCAGGGAAGGGGCUGGAGUGGAUGGGGAGCAUAGCUUAUAGUGGUAGCACUAACUACAGCCCAUCCCUCAAGAGCCGCACCUCCAUCUCCAGAGACACGUCCAAGAACCAGUUCUCCCUGCAGCUGAGCUCCGUGACCACCAGGGACACGGCCGUGUAUUACUGUGCAAGAGCUGAGUAUUACGAUGCACACAGUGAGGGGAAGUGAGUGUGAGCCCAGACACAAACCUCCCUGCAGGGAGACAGGAGGGGCUGGGCUGCAGAUUUUGUCAGAACACCAGGGGGCA